rnacentral:rRNA from 1 species
ACAACAAAUAUGAAGGCUGGCUUCGUCGGCCGGCUGAAGUAUUUUUGUUCUUCACCCAUGUCUUUUGCGCACUUGUUGUUUCCUGGGCGGGUUCGCCCGCCACCAGGACCAAACCAUAAACCUUUUUUUUUAUGUAGUUGCAAUCAGCGUCAGUAAAAACAAUGUAAUUAUUACAACUUUCAACAACGGAUCUCUUGGUUCUGGCAUCGAUGAAGAACGCAGCGAAAUUGCGAUACGUAGUGUGAAUUGCAGAAUUCAGUGAAUCAUCGAAUCUUUGAACGCACAUUGCGCCCUUUGGUAUUCCAAAGGGCAUGCCUGUUCGAGCGUCAUUUGUACCUUCAAGCUUUGCUUGGUGUUGGGCGUUUUUGUCUCUCGUUCUCGGGAGACUCGCCUUAAAACGAUUGGCAGCCGGCCUACUGGUUUCGGAGCGCAGCACAUAUUUUGCGCUUUGUAUCAGGAGAAAAGGACGGUAAUCCAUCAAGACUACAUUUUUAACUUUGACCUCGGAUCAGUAGGAUACCCCUGAACU